UACGGGGGGGGUAAGCGUUGUUCGGAAUUACUGGGCGUAAAGGGCUCGUAGGCGGCCAACUAAGUCGGACGUGAAAUCCCUCAGCUUAACUGGGGAACUGCGUCCGAUACUGGAUGGCUUGGAUUUGGGAGGGGGAUGCGGAAUUCCAGGUGUAGCGGUGAAAUGCGUAGAUAUCAGGAGGAACACCGGUGGCGAAGGCGGUUCUCUGGGCAUGUCCUGACGCUGAGGAGCGAAAGUGUGGGGAGCGAACAGG
rnacentral:rRNA from 1 species